rnacentral:rRNA from 1 species
GUGGGGAAUCUUGCGCAAUGGGCGAAAGCCUGACGCAGCCAUGCCGCGUGGAUGAUGAAGGUCUUAGGAUUGUAAAAUCCUUUCACCGGUGAAGAUAAUGACUGUAGCCGGAGAAGAAGCCCCGGCUAACUUCGUGCCAGCAGCCGCGGUAAUACGAAGGGGGCUAGCGUUGCUCGGAUUUACUGGGCGUAAAGGGCGCGUAGGCGGACAUUUAAGUCAGGGGUGAAAUCCCGGGGCUCAACCUCGGAACUGCCUUUGAUACUGGGUGUCUGGAGUAUGAGAGAGGUGUGUGGAACUCCGAGUGUAGAGGUGAAAUUCGUAGAUAUUCGGAAGAACACCAGUGGCGAAGGCGACACACUGGCUCAUUACUGACGCUGAGGCGCGAAAGCGUGGGGAGCAAACAGGAUUAGAUACCCCGGUAGUCC